rnacentral:rRNA from 1 species
GAUGAACGUUGGCGGCGUGCUUAACACAUGCAAGUCGAGCGAAGCGGCUAAGAGGAAGUUUUCGGAUGGAAUCAGAGCUGACUGAGCGGCGGACGGGUGAGUAACGCGUGGGUAACCUGCCUCAUACAGGGGGAUAACAGUUAGAAAUGACUGCUAAUACCGCAUAAGCGCACAGGACCGCAUGGUCCGGUGUGAAAAACUCCGGUGGUAUGAGAUGGACCCGCGUCU